rnacentral:rRNA from 1 species
UGGCUCAGGACGAACGCUGGCGGCGUGCCUAACACAUGCAAGUCGAACGGAAGUUAGAGCUUCGGUUUUAACUUUAGUGGCGAACGGGUGAGUAACGCGUGAGGAACCUGCCUUUCAGUGGGGGACAACAGUUGGAAACGACUGCUAAUACCGCAUGAUACUUUUGGGAGACAUCUCCUGAAAGUCAAAGCUUUAUGUGCUGAAAGAUGGCCUCGCGUCUGAUUAGCUAGUUGGUGAGGUAACGGCUCACCAAGGCGACGAUCAGUAGCCGGUCUGAGAGGAUGAACGGCCACAUUGGGACUGAGAUACGGCCCAGACUCCUACGGGAGGCAGCAGUGGGGAAUAUUGGUCAAUGGGCGGAAGCCUGAACCAGCCAAGUAGCGUGCAGGACGACGGCCCUAUGGGUUGUAAACUGCUUUUAUGCGGGGAUAAAGUGGGCCACGUGUGGCCUUUUGCAGGUACCGCAUGAAUAAGGACCGGCUAAUUCCGUGCCAGCAGCCGCGGUAAUACGGAAGGUCCGGGCGUUAUCCGGAUUUAUUGGGUUUAAAGGGAGCGCAGGCCGCCGGGCAAGCGUGUUGUGAAAUGCAGUCGCUCAACGUCUGCACUGCAGCGCGAACUGCCCAGCUUGAGUGCGCGCAACGUUGGCGGAAUUCGCCGUGUAGCGGUGAAAUGCUUAGAUAUGGCGAAGAACUCCGAUUGCGAAGGCAGCUGACGGGUGCGUAACUGACGCUCAUGCUCGAAAGUGCGGGUAUCGAACAGGAUUAGAUACCCUGGUAGUCCGCACGGUAAACGAUGGAUGUCCGCUAUUCGGCCCAUGCGGUUGAGUGGCCAAGCGAAAGCGUUAAGCAUCCCACCUGGGGAGUACGCCGGCAACGGUGAAACUCAAAGGAAUUGACGGGGACCCGCACAAGCAGUGGAGUAUGUGGUUUAAUUCGACGCAACGCGAAGAACCUUACCAGGGCUUGACAUCCUACUGACGAAGCAGAGAUGCAUUAGGUGCCCUUCGGGGAAAGUAGAGACAGGUGGUGCAUGGUUGUCGUCAGCUCGUGUCGUGAGAUGUUGGGUUAAGUCCCGCAACGAGCGCAACCCUUACGGUUAGUUGCUACGCAAGAGCACUCUAGCCGGACUGCCGUUGACAAAACGGAGGAAGGUGGGGACGACGUCAAAUCAUCAUGCCCUUUAUGUCCUGGGCUACACACGUACUACAAUGGCAGACAUACAGAGGGAAGCAAAGCAGCGAUGCGGAGCGAAACCCUAAAAGCUGUCUCAGUUCAGAUUGCAGGCUGCAACCCGCCUGCAUGAAGGUGGAAUUGCUAGUAAUCGCAGAUCAGCAUGCCGCGGUGAAUACGUUCCCGGG